rnacentral:lncRNA from 1 species
CGGCGGGGCGCGGGUGGGCUCGGAGUCUCCUGUACCCCACCCGCGCCCCCGCCCGGCCUCCCGAAGCUUCCCCUUCUUAGUUCUCGCCAGGCAGCAGCGAGCAUUUCAGAGUCCGCCGCCUUGAGAUCCAGCUGGAGCGCCCUCCACCGCGGGGCCACGGCUGCCCGUCCCCCGUUGGCGUCAAACUCGCCGAGACUGACUUCCGGACGUCCCGCCCGCAGCCCCUGCCGGAGGCGCCUCGUUGUCAGCCCCACAGUGGCUUCCUCGAGGGUUGCUGGCCUCCAGGAGCUCAACUCCAGCCAGGGAGAUUUCCAGGCCGUGCCGAGGGGACAGAGGCCAACCCGUCAGGCUGCUCACUGGGCGCGGUCAGUGUGAAGAGAAUGGAGAGGGCAUGUGGACAGUGCCCUCCAUUUUCCCAGGACGCUUACUUCCUGCCCUCGGGCAAGAGGCUGAAGUGACAACAUCUGCUGCAGGAGUGGAGUGAGAUGAGAGAACAGGACUCCCCAGCCCUCACCCCGCUGCAGAUACAUCGAUUUGAACAGCCACUCUUGCACUUUGAACAAAUGCAAGGAUGUGGAGGAAGGGAAACCCUUGCACAUGUUGGUGGGGACAGUAGUACAGGCUUAUGGAAAACGAUGUGGAGAUUCCUCAAGAAACAGAAAGUGAGGGGUGGGGAUGUAGCUCAGUGGCGCCGUGCCUGCCUGGAUUUCGACACAGCUGGAACGUGGCGGUGGAAAUUGUUGGCAGCUCCAUCCCUUAAAGAAACCAACCGGAAGCUGUGUGCCUGAGCCUCUGGGAAACAGGCAGGCUUGAGUGACUUUCCCAGGGUGGAGGACAUCCGCGUGGAGCUCUUCCCUCUGCCAGCACUGGCCCGCCAGGGUGGGCAGAGAGCCCCUCUGUGCCCCAGGGGGAGAGAACAAGGUAUCUGUGAGCGCCAGGAUCUGCCGAACAGCCCAGGACAGAGGAAACCAGAUCCAAGAAGCUUGUGGUGGCCCUGGUGACACACAGGUGUCUACUACUUCAGAAUAAGGAAGCCAACCACAGCCCCGGUCCCCGGUGUCCCUCUGCCCCUCCUUUGCCCUCCUGAGUCAGCCAACCUUAAAGAGUUCUGUGUCCUGUUCGGGAAAAGCGAUCAUGGAGCAGCCCGGGCACUGGCCCAGAGUUGGAAACCUGCUCUCCCUGCCUACCUGAGUGGACUCCAGGGCUGGGAGGGACUCAGCACACUGUGGGGCAUGAGACUGAGGAGCAGAGGUGGAAACCGCACAUCCUAGAUCUUUAACUGCAAGAAGUACUCACUCAGGGGAGGAAAGCGGGAAAGAGAAGCUGAGGAGCUGAUCUCAGAGCAGGAGGGAGGGGAACAGUGAGUCCCAAAGUCUGGGAGGGUAGAGAAGCAGGAGGGCAGAGGAGGGAGCACAGCAGGUUCCAAAGCUCAGCUGCCUGGGAUAAGCUCAGUAGGGUAACUGCAGUCCACAGCACUCUGCUACCAGGUGUGGUGAAAAAUAGGGCAAAUGCUUACAUUUUAAAAGUGCAUUGCAGUCAAAGACACACUGCCAUUCAUUCACUCCCUCAGAAUCCUCCCCUCCCUUUGAACGCACUCGUCCCACGUCCUCGCCGCUUUCUGCAGCAGCUCUGGAGUCCUCUUUCCUGGGGGUCUGUACCUGCGCUAUCCUGGCUGCCUCGAUGUCCCAAAUGGAUUCAAAAUGCUGACCCUUCGUGGUCAUUUUGACUUUGGGGAAGAGCCGGAAGUUGCACAGUGCCAGAUCCGGAAAAUAAGGUGGAUGAGGACCCAGCAUCGUGUUUCUACGAGCCGCCUUUCCAAUGGAUGGAGCUCAGCAGCAGCAUCCACCACAUUGUUUAUCACAUCCUAUGAAGGCAAUCAGAAGAAAGGACUGCAGAGCUGCUUCAGAAAGUGGUAAGAGGGGGAUGGGAUAAGUGUGUCUCAAGUAGGGGAGGAUUCCGAGAGGGAGUCAUAGCAAAGUAUUUCUCGCUGUAAACUUUUUAAAAAAAAUGUAAAAACUCUCUGCACAUUUUCCAGUCAAGCUCACAUCUCCAUUGCUGGUCUGGGAAACAGGGCAGGGGGAUGAGACAGGAAGGCUGGGGAGGAGCGAGGCCGGAGCCCUGGCCUGGCUCUGUCCUCACAAAAUCUUGGCCUGGUUCUCGGGUCCCCAGGAGCUGGGCUCUGAGGUCUGUCUGAGGGAAGUGGGGACAGCUGGGGCUUGACUUCCCCAAAGGAGGACUACGGAGGGAGGGUUGAAGAAACAAAGCAAGCUAAGAAGGAGAAAAGGAAAAAGAAAAAAAUUUAAAUUGCGUUUUUUUUUAAACUGCAGCUUUAGACACAGAAUUACCCAAAGUCACGGUGCUUUUAUUCUGUUCCAGGAAACGCACUCAAAACAAUUCCAGAGGGUCCUAAAGACACGAUGAGCCUGUAAAUAGAGGCUGCGCUUCUCAGCCAUGGAGCUGCUCCUCAGCCAGCAGUGCUGAGGUCCACAGACAGCUCUGAGCUCGGACUCACACAGGGCUGGCACUGACCUCGCCCCCAGACAGGCCUGACAGAGGACCACACACCCUGGGUCUCCUUCUGAGGGCCCCUCAAGACCCUAUCAAGCCAGACCCCCCAGUAACCGCCUCUCUGGCUCGCUGUCCGUGGGGCAGAGCUCUUCACGUCCGGGUGGAAGUCGGGAGCCUGCAGCUGCGGGUGCGGGGUGAGCUGAGUCAGCUCUCUGCGGACCUGCGUGGACCCCGCCUGCACCCGGGAGACAGUGGCACAGCCUGGUGCUCCUCUGCACCUGCCUGCCAGGCUGCCCACCCUGCCUGCCUGAGUCUAAAUUGAGAGUCUUGGAAGACUUUCA